GGUCAAAGUGCCUGUCUAGUAAACAGGAGAUCCUGGGUUUGAAUCCCAGUGGUGCCU
rnacentral:tRNA from 1 species